UGAGCAGAAAGCUCUGGAUCGUGACAGCAGCCGCAGUGCCCGCCCCACCCCGUCCCCACGGCGCCAGGACGCAGGCAGGUGGAUUUACCCGUGGCCGCGAGCGCAGCUGCCGGGAGACGCAAUUUUCUUUUAAAGUCUGAUUCUCACCGGAGCCUGGAGGUGCAGCCCCUGUGUGCGUGCCUGGCACCCCGGCCCUCCGUCCCCACGGGGCACUGUGCACAGAAGGGGCGCCACUGAAUACUUCGGCGACCGACUGCUGAAUCGCUCUUGGCUGCAGGACUCCGCCUGGGAGACCCGGGAACCACAGGCGGCCGUGUCCUAUGUUAUUGCUGUCAUCGUCACAGCACUCGCAAUAUGAGACGAGACGGCUACCGUGUUAAAGCGAAAAAAUGACAAAGGCUUUUAUUACGUGAGCAGUUUUUCUGGGCGUCACGAUGGAGUUUGCGCUGCACAGAGCAACGGGCACGUAAGUCACCGGCACGUCAGAGCACAGACCUCCGGGCCUGGAGGCUCCGGUGCCGCGAGCAAGUAAAUUAUUAAUGAGGCGAUGUCUAAAAAUAAAAGUGCAAUGCCCCACCUUCCUUCCAAAGAAGGGGAAACAAGUUUCUAGUAACUAUCAGAGCCCAAAAUAGUCCGCAAAGCCGUCACUUGCCCGGUGGUCGUUCUCGUGACCGCGCAGGCUGGGAAUCCCGACCACACCUUGGCACCAGGACACUGUGGCUCCUGCCUUGCUUGGGCACGUGCGGGCCAACCCCACGUCCAGCCCGAGCUCCCUUCUCCUUCCUCGCCUCCCCUCACAGUGGCCGGACUUGCGGCCACCCCUGCCUGUCACAGCCUCCCUUGCAGCUUGGGUGUCUGUGACCGAUCUCUGAACGGUGAGGCGUAAGCAAGGUCUGGGGGUGGGGGGAUGGGAGAUGUUUUUGCUUUCCCGACAGCAAGCACAAGGAGAUCGUUACUACCGUCACUCCUUGAAGUGGACUAGGUGGCAGGUGCAUUGGCAGCUCUUUUGCAGCCAUGAAGAUGACACCAGAGACUAUAGGUGGUGGAGUAGGGAGAUGAAGGAUUUGAGUCCUGGAUGGCUUCAUGGAGCUGACAGAACAGAGCCGGCGUUAAUUAUCUCCUACCUUCCCAUAACAUGCAAUAAGGACAGCGAGUUGAGGUCACCG